rnacentral:rRNA from 1 species
GACGAACGCUGGCGGCGUGCUUAACACAUGCAAGUCGAACGGUGAAGGUGGGAGCUUGCUCCUGCUGGAUCAGUGGCGAACGGGUGAGUAACACGUGAGUAACCCGCCCUUGACUCUGGGAUAAGCGUUGGAAACGACGUCUAAUACCGGAUACGAGCUUCAGCCGCAUGGCUAGGAGCUGGAAAGAUUUUUCGGUCAAGGAUGGACUCGCGGCCUAUCAGCUUGUUGGUGAGGUAAUGGCUCACCAAGGCGACGACGGGUAGCCGGCCUGAGAGGGUGACCGGCCAGACUGGGACUAAGACACGGCCCAGACUCCUACGGGAGGCAGCAGUGGGGAAUAUUGCACAAUGGGCGCAAGCCUGAUGCAGCAACGCCGCGUGAGGGACGACGGCCUUCGGGUUGUAAACCUCUUUUAGCAGGGAAGAAGCGCAAGUGACGGUACCUGCAGAAAAAGCACCGGCUAACUACGUGCCAGCCGCCGCGGUAACAC